UACAGAGGGUGCAAGCGUUGUUCGGAAUCACUGGGCGUAAAGCGCGUGUAGGCGGUUUUCUAAGUCGGGUGUGAAAUCCCCCGGCUUAACCGGGGAAGUGCGCCUGAAACUGGGAGGCUUGAGUAUCGGAGAGGAAAGGGGAAUUCCCGGUGUAGAGGUGAAAUUCGUAGAUAUCGGGAGGAACACCGGCGGCGAAGGCGCCUUCCUGGCCUGUUCUUGACGCUGAGGCGCGAAAGCUAGGGUAGCAAACGGG
rnacentral:rRNA from 1 species